rnacentral:lncRNA from 1 species
GACUCAAGCCUGUCUCUUUCCCCAUGUAGGCCCCCUUCGCAGUGAGAAUGGGAAAAGUGGCCAUUGACAAAGGAAUGGAGGUGGACAUCGCAUCUGGAAUGGCCAUUGAAGG